rnacentral:rRNA from 1 species
ACUCCUACGGGAGGCAGCAGUAACGAAUCUUCCGCAAUGGGCGAAAGCCUGACGGAGCAAUGCCGCGUGUGGGAUGAAGCAUCUUCGAUGUGUAAACCACUGUCAGGGUCUAGGAAUACUGACCAGACCCAGAGGAAGGGCCGGCUAAUUCCGUGCCAGCAGCCGCGGUAAUACGGAAGGCCCGAGCGUUAAUCGGAAUCACUGGGCUUAAAGCGUACGCAGGCGGACUUGUAGGUAUCUUGUGAAAUCCCACGGCUUAACCGUGGAACUGCAGGGUAAACCACAAGUCUUGAGACAUGUAGGGGUCAGUGGAACCAUGAGUGGAGCGGUGAAAUGCGUAGAUAUUCAUGGGAACGCCAAUGGCGAAGGCAGCUGACUGGGCAUGUUCUGACGCUCAGGUACGAAAGCGUGGGUAGCGAACGGGAUUAGAUACCCUGGUAGGUCAGUC